CCUACGGGAGGCUGCAGUGAGGAAUAUUGGUCAAUGGGCGCGAGCCUGAACCAGCCAAGUCGCGUGAGGGAGGACGGCCCUACGGGUUGUAAACCUCUUUUGCCGGGGAGCAACGGGCGCCACGUGUGGCGCCACUGAGAGUACCCGGAGAAAAAGCAUCGGCUAACUCCGUGCCAGCAGCCGCGGUAAAACGGAGGAUGCGAGCGUUAUCCGGAUUUAUUGGGUUUAAAGGGUGCGUAGGCGGAUCGUUAAGUCAGUGGUCAAAUUGAGGGGCUCAACCCCUUCCCGCCAUUGAAACUGGCGUUCUUGAGUGGAAGAGAGGUAUGCGGAAUGCGUGGUGUAGCGGUGAAAUGCAUAAAUAUCACGCAGAACCCCGAUUGCGAAGGCAGCAUGCCGGCUUCCGACUGACGCUGAAGCACGAAAGCGUGGGGAUCGAACAGGAUUAGAUACCCCUGUAGUC
rnacentral:rRNA from 1 species